rnacentral:misc_RNA from 1 species
CGGUAAACGACUGUUACGAACAUCUGUUUCCACCGAUUUUUUUUUCAUGCAUUCCCGAAAUGUCUUCUUUGCAACUAAAGUUGGUUUCUCUUCUUGUUCAGGACCAUUUUGGAGAUGCUGUAGAGAAAGUUUGUUCGCAGAUUCUGAAACAUGGAUCGAAUAAUUUUCGGAGUAUAGUCUGUGCGACAAACGAAAAACCAGAACAGGUCAAAAAGGCAUUAUGUGUGUUAAUUCAGCAUAAUAUUGUGAAGUUUGGCUUGAGCAAGCGUGGAAUUGUUGAGUAUACUGCGGAUGUUGAGAACGCUCUACUGAUAAUCCGUUACCCACGAUACAUCUACUGUGCUAAGAAUCUGUAUGGUGACAUUGGAGAGCUGAUUGUGGAGGAGGUUUUGCAUCAUGGACAGAUACUUAUGAGCAAUGUCAUUGAAAAGGUCAAGGUCAGAUUGAAAGAGGCUCUGGAAGGAAAUCAACUAGAACCUACAGCAAUUAGAGAUAAGUUUAUUGACCUUGUCAAUACCCACUUCUUGCAGAGGUUGCCAUCUUUGGAAGCUGAAGAUGAUGAAGAAAGUAAAGUAGUGCCCCCUGUUCCAUGUCUAUCUAUCUUUGAUUCUGACUUGUAUAGGGUACCAGAGACUACAGGAGGUAAGAGAAAGAGGUCUCUGGAUGAUGAUAAAGGAAGCAGCAAGAAAGUAAGGAGAUCAUCUGGAGGAAGAGAACAAGAUACAGAGGUGCCUCUUGAUGAUGGAAUCUACUGGAAGGUGAAUUUUGAACGUUUUCACCGUUAUUUCAGAGAUCAAGAUAUCAUCUUGGCUAUGACACAGAGAAUAGACAAGACUGCUGGAGAAGUGGUUGGUACAAUGCUCAGGAUGAGUGAACUCACGACAGACUUCAUGGCCAGGGAAACCAAACCUCUGUCAUUCCAUGAUAUCUUACGACAAAUGCCCAAGAAGCUAGACAACAGGCAGCUGGAACAAUACAUGAAACUAUUACUUGAUGACCAGACGAUGAUAGUAAGGAAGUAUGGGGAUGCUGGAGGAGGAAUGUAUGAGAUAGACUUGGAGCAGGCUUCAAGGAUCAUAUGUACGGCAAACAUUGAGUCAGUGGUUCAGGAGAGAUUCGGGUCCAAGAGCUUCCGUAUUUUCAAGACACUUCUCAAGAAAAAGUACCUGGAACAAAAACAGAUUGAGAACUUUGCUUUGAUUCCUGCAAAGGAAGCCAAGGAGCUUGUUUAUCAGAUGUUUACAGAGAACUUUAUCACCGUCCAAGAGAUCCCUCGUACUCCAGACCACGCUCCCUCAAGGACCUUCUACCUCUUCACGGUUGACCUGUGUCAGGUCACCUUUAUGUUGGCAGAGAGGUGUUAUAAGUCACUGAUCAACCUCAUGACCAGGCGCCAUUUUGAAUCGGCCGAAAACAAGAGAUUGAUUGAGAAGGAGCAGAAGGUGGAGGCCAUAACAGCAUCCAUGCAAGGAUCAGGGGCAGAUCCUGCUCAACUUGAAGAGAUAGAGAAGACAUUGACACAAUUAGAGAAAGAACAACUACAGAAAUACAAAGGAAGGAUAGCUAAGUUAGAACAGAGUGAGCUACAGACAGACCAAACCAUAUUUAUACUCAACUCUUUUUUACUUCAAGAAGCAGUGGGAAGAUUAUAACACCUCUUUUCUUUGUGAACUGUAUGAACUUUUGUACCUUGACAAACCCGCACAUACACACGUACAUACACGGAAGAUGAAGAUGAAGGAAAAUAUUUGAAGGACAUUACUAAUAUCAACUCAGAAGACCUUUCCUACAUGUACUUCAUGAAGUUCUUUUUGAAGUUUGAUGACAUCCUGUGGAAAAACAUGUAUGUGUAAAGAGAAGAAGAGAAGAAAAGUAGUUAGAGGUCAUCUCAUUUGAAGUCAAAGUACUUUUUUAAAUACCUCACAGAAGACAUGGUAGAAGGUGAAUAGAAGGUAUUUCUAUGUGUGGGAUCCUGGCUGAAACAUUUCAUUUAAAGAAGAUAUGAACCAUCAACUAUCUCAAGCCCUCUUUAUCACUAAAAUCUGGCUAGGUUCCCUCCCAUAAUGCAACAUUAUGAGCACAUGUAGUCUCAUAAUAUAGGCCCACUCUAAUGACAGCAUGCUUGUUCACUUAUACAUUUAUUCAUACUGCGGUAAUUGUGUCACCAAGUAGCAAAAUGAGUACUUAGAUGUACCUUUCAAAAACAUUUAGCAUCUCUAGAUGAGUAAUAGUUAUCUCAAAGGAUAUAUUUUAACCCAUUGCCUACUGGAACCAGGUAAUCCCUACACAAAACCGGUAGGAAUUAUAGAAUUCAAUAGCCAAGAGGUUAAGACUAGCUAUCUGUAACACACAAUCAGUGAGAGAUCAUCGACAGUGUAACAUGUUGGCCAGUUCGCUCUUUCUUUAAUAAAGGACAUGUAAGUAAUAGGAAGAUUAGAACAGCAUUUUGAUAUCUCUGUAUAAUGGAGGCAGCGAGAGGAAUGCAUUUUGGUACAUCAGAUACCAAGUUGAACAACAGCUUUAUGAAACGGCCCCCAGGUCCUUUUACAUAAAGCUUAGCAAUCAAUCUUGGGGCUGAAUUUUACCAUUGAUCAUACACAAUAAAUAUAGCCUUUUACCAUUUUGUAGCACAUAUCAUAUAAUGUUGCAUGACUAACAAGACCUUGUAUGUGAGUAAGUUGACAUUUUUGUUUGUGAAAUAACUUUAAAAAUAAAUUUCAGCAAAC